CUCUAUUAGAAGAAAGGUGCAGCAGAGGUAACAGUAAAUGUGGGGAGGGAGAGAGUUCCCUCCUGGGAGCUGGUCAUGUCUAUCUCGGGACAGAGGUACAGUGCUGUCAUCCAGGCAGCUGAAAGGAGAGUUCUUAACCCUGAAUUCCUGGACAAGCAGUAGCAGAGGAAUGUGUGCUCUUGACAACAUGGCAGCAAUGGAGAGGGAACUACAGGAAUUCCUGAACCCCAAGCUUCUAAAUAGAGAAUAGUAGAGUUUGAGGGCAGAGUGGACCGAGAAUCUGCAUUCUACCAAGAAAAGAUCAAAUCGUGUGCCACACCAGCUCUAAGCUGCAAUAAAAGUGGAUUUAUAUUCAUCACCACCCCCACCCCUCUAUUUUUGGUUCACACUUUAAAAAGUGAAGGUGACCAUUUUGAAAAAUAAUAACUAAGGCUCCUGAUUCCAAGUCCUGUAUCAUUAAGCACAAAGCCAGGAGAUGUACUACACUAGGCUGAACAUCCCGAUUUCAUCCAACAGAUUCUCCUAUGGCCUAGUUUCUACUCCCCUCAUCUUCCUGGUUGCCGUCUUGAUUUGUUCAAGCUUCUCAGUGUUCUUCUAAAACAUGGUUCUAAGAACUGAACCAAAUACUCUAGAGGUGGUUUAACCAAGGCAGAAUACAAGGAUGGUGACUUACCUCUUCUCUCAUUCCAGACUCUAUGCUUCUGUUAAUAUGUGGAAAGAUUGCAUUAGUUGUCUAAUAUAUGAGACUAUUGAGCUUGUAGUCCUUUGAAAACUAUGGGUUAUUUUUUUCUCCCAUGUAAUCUAUAUUCUAGCCAUGUUGCUCAUAUUCUGUACUUAUAUGUAUAACUAUAUUUAUUGAACCACACAGAGAACUUCAUAUUUUAUCACUAGAGUAGCCCCAUCCAGACUGGGUGGGCUUGAGGCACUUUCCUGAAGGACAGCUUCACGCUGCAUGCAAAUGUAUGCAGAGCAGGAUAUUACUCCUGAUUGGCUGAGGAAAUGCUGAACCUGACACUACACACAUGAAAGAGAUUUCCACAAUUGGUUCCAGAGACUGUUGAGAGAGAUACAUGAAGAAAAGAGUUCCAGGGAAGUGGUGAAGAGAGACAGAUUUCUGAAUGUCAGACUGGAGACUUCCAAGUUGAAGAUAUCUAUGGCAGCUGGUUCUAUCAUGUUUCUGAUCUUCAGGGCCUAUAAGUCUAGAGUCUUCUUUUUAAAAAAAUUUUUUUUAAUUUUUAGGCAAUUGAGGUUAAGUGACUUGCCCAGGGUCACACAGCUAGUAAAUGUCAAGUGUUUGGUCUGAGGCCGGAUUUGAACUCAAGUCCUUCUGUACUCUAGAGUCUUCUAAGAGAGGACCUUCCCUGGAUGAGAUCAUUCUCUCUGUUCUAGUUUGAGCUAAACUCUGAUCUUGCUCUAAGCUGAAUACUUUGUUCAUUCUUGUGUAUUAUAAUACAUAGAACUUCUUUAAUUCCUAAUGGUGUUUUGCUCAGACAAAUGGGUUACUCAGUUUUCCUGUUUAUGAAGGUCUUUUGUAUAAUUAACAUUUGUGGAGGAGGUUCUAAGCUGGUGAGUAUAAGCUAAGAACUACUCUUCCCUUGAAGAGCAUUCAAGAGGGAGCUUUCCUUCUAAACCCAGGUUCAUGAGCCACCCACAAAUCACAUUUAUGUAAUUAGAAAACCCGUGCACAUAUCUUAAACUACUAUCGCCUUGGUGCAUUCAACCUCCUUGUUCAGGCUUGUUAAGAUUUUUUGUGGAUCCAGAUUUUAGCAUCUAACAUGCUAGUUAUCCCUUGCAGUUUUGUGGCAUUCACAAAUUUGAUAAAUAUGUCAUUUGUGCUUUCAUCUAAGCCAUUGAUAAAAAUGUUGAGAACAGGGCCAAGGACAGAAUUUGUGGCAUUCUGCCAGAAACCUCCCUCCAAGCUGACAUUGAUCUAUUAAUUAUUUUUAUGGGGGUAAUAAUAACUACAGUACCUACCUCACAGGGUUAUUACAAGGACCAGAUGAGAUAAUGUUUGUACAGCAACAGACAUUACAUAGAACUUGCAAACCAUAAAGUUUUAUAUAAAUGUCAACUAUUAUUUUCACCACUCAAUGGAAACACUAUUCAUAACAUCAGAUGGUUGGCUCAUAGAUUCAGAACUGGAUGGGACCUAAGGGAUCAUCUACGCUAACCACCAUCAUUUUACAGACGAGAAAACUGAAGCUUGAAGAGGCUAAGUGACUUUUAUCCAAGGUAUAUAGGAUAUAAAUGACAGAACUGGGAUUUUAACCCAGAUCCCUUGACUCCAAACUCAGUAUUCUUUCAUCAUAUUGUCUCUUCAUUCCUCUGGUUCUGAUUUUAUCUAACUAUGCUUUCCAGCCCUCAUCUCUCUAACUUGUUCAAAAAGAUAUUGUGAUAGACUGAUGACGUGUGCAGGUAGAACUAGAGUGUUUAGGGUUUUGCAAAAUGUUGGCUAUUUGCCCAAGAGAGAGAGAAAUUUAAUGCAGAGCAGGAAACGCAAAUGGAGUCAAUAGCAGUUAUACUCCUCUAAGGAAGAAAGCAGAGGUAAAGACUGGUAGAGAGUAGGAGUCAAUGAGAGUAGAGAAUAGGAGAGGCCUCAAUCAGUCCUCAGUCUCCAUUUUCAUUUCCACAUGCCAAGUUCUAUGCUAGGCUCCCUAAGGGAGAAAAGAAAAGAUAGUACCUACAUUCAGGGAGCUUACUCUGUUGUUAGGAAGACAGGUAGGUAGUGUUGUUCAGUAGAAAGAGCAAUGAAUUGGGACUCCAGGAGAAUGGUCUCAAAUCCUACCUCUGCCACUUACCUGUGUGCUUUUGGGGAAGUGACUUAAUCUCUAUUGGCCUCAAUUUCCUCAUCUGUAAAAUGAGGGAGUUGGAGUAGAUGACUUAUGGAGGUACCAACUCAAGAUCUAUGAUCCUAAUGAAAAGAACAUAAGUCUCAUAGGAUGGAAAAGCAUGGAUUUGUUGUUAUCUGCAUCAGUUCAGGGAAGAGCCAUGUAAUUACUUGGUUAAGUUUAUAAUAGGGAAAACAUUUUUAAAGCCUUUUUUUUUUUUAGUGUACUUAGUAUUCACAACAAACCUCAGCUGAUUCUUGGCUUUAGCACUCCUGACAUCAUUCUUAUAGGGCUUUCUUAUUAAUCUCUCUUUCCCCAAUUUAUGAUAUUGCAAGUGACAAAUAUUCUCAUACUAAUUUCAUAGUUGAGACAAGCCCUGAAAUAAGAGCCAGAAGAAUGAAUGCAACCUCUUUACCUAAACUGUAUUCUUUCCUUUCUUGAUUUCUGCUCUCCCACCCUAAGCAGGAACAACGAUUGAGAGAAAUAGAAUUCUUUCCUCAUCCUUCAUUCAUUAAAACUCAUCAUUACAAAAUAAACUUGAGUCCAGACCAUUAAUGAGAAGAAUUUCAUCUACCUCCAAUACAAGAUACAGGGCAAAGAAAACCUAUUUUCAUCAGAGAACUGAGGAUGAGAUAUAAAUGUCAAGACUCUUCCCCCACCCCCAAGUGUAGCAUCAAUUGGGUUUUGAAAUCUGCUAAUCUGAUGACAGCCCAGCCAGGUAUUACUAUUAUUGGAUAAGGUCACCCUUGCAGUGGAGAGUAACUGAUUCUUGAUGCUUAACAAUAAUGUCAGAAGUGACGAAUAUUUCUCAGGUGCCUGCUAUGUUCCAGGUGCUUUGCUGGGGGCUGGAGUCAAAACUAAAAAACAGUUCCUGCCCUCAGGUAGUUUAUGUUCUCCUAGAACUAGAGAAUGAACAAAAAACAUCAUUUCGUGCUCUGGCUUUCCAAGGUGAAAUCCUUCUUCAUAUCACUUACUAAUUCAUUAUAUCUGACACUUAUAUAGUGCCUUGCCUCGAGUUUUGCAAAAAUGUUUUAUAUAUUAUUUGACCUUGAAUUUAAUUUACACAAUUUAACAUUUAGCUACAAAAAGUCUUUUAUUUUUCUCUCAUUUUACCAUGUAUAUUCAUCUUAGGGAAAUAAUGUGAUUGAGCAAAAUGAGCUCAGAACUUAGAGCAAGGAGAUCAGAGUCUGAAUACUACACCAAAGUUUAGGAGUAUAGACUUCAGAGCCAGAAGGAGGGAUCAUCUGGUCUAAUCCUCUCAUGGAUGAAGAGACUGAAGUUCAAAAAGGUUAAUGGACUUACCCAAAGCAACUCUCUGAGAUUCAAUCUUCUCAUCUGUAAAAUGGGAUAAUAACAUUUGUAGCAACUACUUCAUAUGUUGUUGUGCAGAAGGCUCUUUGGAAACUUUAAAGUGCUAUAUGCAUAUGAACGGUUGUUGUUGUUAUCCCUAAAAUAGGGAUAAACUUACUAUUUAUUUGGCAGGGUAAUUGGGAGUACAGGAGAAGGCACUUUGUACAUUCUAAAGUGCUAUAUGAAUGUAAACUACUCUGGACUCCUUAAGGAGAAGGACAAGAUCUUAUACAUAUUUGUAUCUUAUACAUGUGGGUCAAUAUGUGCUCCAUAAAUGAGCAAUUGAUUGUUCUUUUUCACCUCCUACUCCAACCAUGGCUCAAAAAGUGUUGGUGGCGUUGUAAUUAUUGUUAUAAUUAUUGUUAUUAAAUUUGCAUGUGAAUAUAUUUGUUUUUAAUAAUUAAUAUUAUUAGCUAGCAUUUAUAUAUCACUUUAUGACUUGCAAAGAUACUUUGGUUCAAAGAAGAAAUAACAUACAUACUUAGGCAUAAAAAUCUAUCUUACACUACA